GUGGGGGAUAUUGCACAAUGGAGGAAACUCUGAUGCAGCGACGCCGCGUGAGGGAAGAAGGUCUUCGGAUUGUAAACCUCUGUCUUCAGGGACGAAACAAAUGACGGUACCUGAGGAGGAAGCCACGGCUAACUACGUGCCAGCAGCCGCGGUAAUACGUAGGUGGCAAGCGUUGUCCGGAAUUACUGGGUGUAAAGGGAGCGCAGGCGGGGAAGCAAGUUGGGAGUGAAAUCUAUGGGCUUAACCCAUAAAUUGCUUUCAAAACUGUUUUUCUUGAGUAGUGCAGAGGUAGGCGGAAUUCCCGGUGUAGCGGUGGAAUGCGUAGAUAUCGGGAGGAACACCAGUGGCGAAGGCGGCCUACUGGGCACCAACUGACGCUGAGGCUCGAAAGUAUGGGUAGCAAACAGGAUUAGAAACCCCUGUAGUCC
rnacentral:rRNA from 1 species